AUCCCCAUUGUAUUGGUGAGUGAGCCAACGCAGUUCAGCGGAACAACCAAAAUACAGAGACUGAAGCUUUUGGUCUAAUUUUUACUAUGUAAUAUAACUUCAUGCAGUGAGGAAUGGUGUAUUCUAGUCAUGUUACAUUAGACUGUCAAUAAUUGCAAUUGCCAUGGCCUGAUUUUGAUUGGCUAAUGAGCUUUCAUACCAUGGUAGUUACCAUUAAUAGUAGAUUUCAUCAUGCCAUGCAUGUAGGUCUGGGGAGCGUUUCAUCAACAUCUAGAUCUGACAACCUUCCUUGAUGUUGAUUGGCUGAGAAAUAAUGUUGCUAUUGUAUCUGUAGGAUAAAAUGGGACUUGUCGGAUAAUAAAAUCUGACAAAUCCUUUCAUGAAAUGCUCCCCUUGGGUUCUUGUGGGAAAUUGGGAAAGAGCAUUAUGUAAAUCUUGUGGAGUUUUUUUUUCUCAGAGGCUUGAAAAUACAUGUAAUAUUUUCCAGUUGCAUUUUAAAGAAUAUUUCAAUUGCAUACAUUGAGGUUGAAGUCAUCUGAUAAUAGUGAGUUUUCGAUUUGCACUCCACUAGUCGACUUACAAAUCGAAAACUCCCUAUUGAUAAUGAUGAAUGUGAACUUGUUAAAAUAUUAUUUCCUUGUUUAACACCUUGUGGAUAAUUCAUUUAUAUAUAUAUACUGGUUUAUAUUAUUGGUUUUAACUUCUCUAUAGUAUCAUGUAUCAAGGUAUUUUAGGAACAGAUUAUGGUGUAAUAUUGAAUGUCUUUUUAGAUACUACUAACUAACUUUUUAAUAAGAAUAAUCAUAUUCUUUUUUUUUGUAUUAUACCUAAAACAUUGGAAAAGGGUCUCUCAACGCUCCUCAGAGUCUGGAUUAUCAUAACAACAUCCAUCGAAUGACUGGUUAUGGUGGUACUAAUUAGUUUUUCAUUAUUGUUUUUAUACCAAAAAUACAUGUAAUUCACUGCAACAACUUACAAAACAUGCAAAACUGGGUAAGGGUUUGAAUAAAUUAUAAGGGAAUUUUUAAACCUCAUCAGGGAAAAAUCAGGGAAUUUUGUUUUCUUGAAAAGCUGUGAACCCUGUACGUAUCAUUCUCUUUUAAGAGAUUUAUAAGUGUGCAUAUUAAUUUGCUUUUGGGAAUAACUCCAUUACGUUGCAGUAUAUCAGUAAGUUUUAAGUUAAAAAACUCUUUUUAAUUUGAUAAUUUUAUGGUGCAUUUACCAUGCCACUGAGCACUUUUCAGCAGUUUAAUAUUCUUCUUAAUGUGAAUUUGUUUGUAUUGUUAUUCUUUAAUAUACAGUGAAGUCAUUUUCUUGUUGAGUUUUCCAUGUUUCUUAAUGUAAAAGCAAUUUAAAUGCCUCACAAUCGAUUUUAUGAAUUUUUGUAAACAGAAGUAGUAAUUUUCCUUUUUUUUUAAUUCCAUUACCUUUUAACAUAACAAGUUUGAACAAAAUAGUUUGGCUUGAGUGUUUCUCCAUUCAUUUGCAGGAUGACUUGAUAACAUAUAAUCAUUCAAGAUGCAUGAUUAAGUAUAUGUUGUCAGAGACAAAUUAUCAUUUUUCAAAACUAACUUGGACUUUUAUUAUGCCAAUAUAAGUUUACAACAGCAUGUUAUGCCUUAUUCAUAAAAUAUGUUCAACUGAUAAUGAAAUGGUUAAGCCUUGGUUGCUUGUGUGUUGGUCCGUUUUGUUAAUAACUAUUGACUCAAAAUUUUUAUGUAAAUUUAAUGGAUUAUACAAAUUGAGAAAUUACACAUCUUGCUUACACAAAAUAUUUCAUAAAUCUGCUUCUAGACUUGUUUUAUUGUUUCGGUGAUCAGGAAUUUUUACAAAUUUUACAGUAAAUUGUAUAGUUGCCAAAAAAUUAUAUACCUAAGCAAAAUCUUGUUCAUUCUCCAGAGAAAUGAUUUAAACCCCAUAGCUUAUCAUGUAAUUAGAAUGGAUAACCUUUAUUUAUACUGAUUCUUGAAAAUGGACUCUGUAAAACUCUGUAAAAUAUCAGAAAUCUCUGGAUGAAAAAAAAUUCUAUUUGAAGAAGUGGAAAUUGUAUUCAAACUUUGACAGAAUUGGUGUACCUGAGGAUGAAUUCUAAAUUUGAUAUCCUUGUUGAAUGAAAGGUGAAACUCAAAUAUCUUUAAAAAAAUAAGUGUGUGGUGUAAAUAUGAGAUUAAUUAUUAUUAACCGUAUCAGACAUCUGAGCAGGGCAACUUCAAUACAUUAUUGUCUGCUUAAGACUGGGAUCAGUGGUCGGUCAAUAAGUUUGCACUUGUUUAACCACGGACAAUUUUAUUGCCCUCUAAGGAAAGUCUAUGAGAAAUUGCAUGGAAAUGUACCGGGGAAUAAGACAGAGCUAACCUGCGGGUAUUCUUUGCGUUUCUGCAUGCGUCCUUAAACCGCGCAGUGCUGUACGUCACAAUGUUAAUCAAGUUGAGACAACGCUGGAUACUGCCUCCCCAGGCCAGGGACAUGUCAUUUCAUUUAUGUCACAAUGGUUCAGAGGCUCAGUCUGCUCAACAUGACAAAAUAGAUUCCCAUUUUUAAACACUAAAAUUUCUAAAUUUAACAAUUUUUGCUCUAGAUAUCUGAUUUGGUUAAUAAUAUUGACUAGCCUGGGGGCAGAAGGACAUAUAUCGCCCUCACUAAAUUGGUAUCACCCUCGUCUACGACUUGGGCGAUAUAAAUCUAGUUUGGGCUUUAUAUAUGUCGUAUUGCCCCGAGGCCAGUCAAUAUUACUUUAUUAUCACAUAAAUAGCUUGUGAGCUAUUGUGAUUAAGUGCCAAUUUUGAUUAUUAUAUUUUAAAUUUACAUUGCGAAAUUCACAUCAAGUCAUUGGGUACCUAUGUGUUAUUAGCACUUGUAAUUUACAUUGUUUCCAAUAUGAUAAGAAUAUGCGAUUCCUAUUUGUUCAUCUAAAUGAGUAGUAAUAAUGUAUGUAAACAUGUUGGGUGUUAUUCGGGAGCAUUAAAUUUAUAAGCAUUAUUAUACAUAUUGUGGUCAUAAUAGUAAUUAUUAAGUUUGUCUUUAUUUCCUAUACUCAGAAAUCUCUCCCUUUCACUACUCUCAUUUCCACUCCCCUCACUUCCACUCCCUCCCAUUCUACUUACGUGCUAAAAAAAGUGCCAUACAAACACAUAGCAGAAUCUGAGAAAGAAAUAGAUCUGUAUUGACAAUAACAAAAGUUUACAUUAGUUUCCAAUUAUAUACAUUUAUACACGCAGAAACACCUUGAUAUAGUAAAGAUUUAGAAUAGAUAGUACACAAACUCCGACAAAAAUUAUAUCUCUUCAGUCACCUUUGGGGCAGAGGCAAAUUGAAUCAUUGAAACAUGCGUUUCUCACAUUAAAAUUGACAGUACUCAAAUUACUCAAAUAAAAAUGCAUAUGGGGGAUCAUCAAAAAAGAAAUUGGAAUACAACUACCACAUUGAUAUUAACCAAAUACAACUUUGACGAUAGUAACGUUUAUUUUCCCUAUUGCAUAAA